GUCCACGCCCUAAACGAUGCGAACUGGAUGUUGGGUGCAAUUUGGCACGCAGUAUCGAAGCUAACGCGUUAAGUUCGCCGCCUGGGGAGUACGGUCGCAAGACUGAAACUCAAAGGAAUUGACGGGGGCCCGCACAAGCGGUGGAGUAUGUGGUUUAAUUCGAUGCAACGCGAAGAACCUUACCUGGCCUUGACAUGUCGAGAACUUUCCAGAGAUGGAUUGGUGCCUUCGGGAGCUCGAACACAGGUGCUGCAUGGCUGUCGU
rnacentral:rRNA from 1 species